CCGUCGAUAGCUCAGUUGGCAGAGCGGUGGACUGUAGUUAGUUGAAAGCAGCUAUCCAUAGGUCGCUGGUUCGACUCCGGCUCGACGGA
rnacentral:tRNA from 1 species